AUAAUAUUUACAUAUUUACAUAUGAUUUAAUAGCUUAUUUUAAUAAAUAUCAGAAAUCUAAAAGGUGUGCAUUAUAGCUGACACCUAGAUGAACACUUUACAGUUGGUUAUAUGACUGUAAGUCAUUCCCUUCAAAUGCUAUUGAAGUUAGAAACGUGUUUAACAAUGUCGUAUGUAACUUUAGAGACGGUCCUUUAAUUUCCGCACAUCUGCGAAUAUCGAACGUCUAACGUCAAACCAACUUUAUUCCAGUACACGACGUGCUCUUAUGAUGUUAUGUUAAUAAUCGACGAACAAUAAGGACAUUUUAUAUAAACAAAAGACUAUUUUAUUUGAAAAUUGGUUUCGAAAUAAUAUUCUACCGGUGGACCAGUUGUUUAAAUACAGUUGGUUUACUCUUCACAUACAGUAUGAUAAGAUUUUGAAGCGUUAUAAUAUUCCUGUACCACCAGGGGGAUUUUCAAAGGUCUCUGGUGCAAUCCCUGCGCGAGUAUGCAUUCUUUUUGUUUUGUUUGUAAAUGCAGAAGAUAUUUUAAUGCAAACACUGCCUCAUACUGCUGAUUACACAGGUAGAUGUUGACUUGCUACAGUAUGACAUUGCAGGCUGUCGCACCUCCUUUGAUGCCCAUGUACCUAACGCAUCCAAACCAUAUCGGCUCCCCAGUGAUUAAGGGUGUAGCAACCCCACUGGCACUGUUAAUGCAUGCUCAAUGCCACUGGUUGCACAUGGUUUCCUCCUGUUACACCUAAUACCACUCAGACAUUCUUGCCUAACGCAAUACCUUCAGACCUACAGACCUUCCCAGUGACUCAGGGCAUGCUCAGUGCAACAGGUUCCAUAUGGCAUAGGUCAGCUGCAGGGUCAUCAUCCGGGUACCACCGCUCAACAAUGUUUCGCUCCUUUAACCCCAGAAAGUCUACGGGUGGCGGAGCACUGGCAGGGACGUCAACUGCAACUAGACCUUGGGUAAGAUGUUACUACCCCAGCACUUCUCCUUUCUCUUCAUCCAGAGCCUGUAAAUAACAGGAAGUCCUGAUGUAACUGUGCAUUGCAAUGGGCUGGCACCCUCUCCAUUGUCGCCCCCCCCAUGUGCCCCGAGUUCCCUGGGACAGGCUCCAGGCUCCUCUGCGACCCUAUGCAGGGUAAGCGGUCUUGAAAAUAGAUGCAUGGAUGUUCAUCUGGCAUGUGUUUGAUGAACAUGUGAAAUGUAAAUAGUAAAGUAUAAAGAGUAUCUCUCCCUCUUACUCUCUCUCUCUCACACGCACACACACACACACACACACACACAAUCCAACAUAAAUACAUUGCACUUUGUUUUGCAAAAAAACAAACAAAACAAAACAUAAAUGUUGUUUUGUUUUGUGUUUUUAUGUUGUGACAUUUAGGUAUCUAUCUCAAAUUAUCUUAAAAGGUGCUCCAGUAUUUGUAGAUGCUAAACAAAUCCCAAAGCAUCAGUUUUAGCCCUUUAAUUUCAAUGCUGGAUUCUACUCUAAUUGCUAGUGCAGUGUUGAUCUAUGUUUUUUUACUGAAAUUAUUUGCAAAGUGAUUAUUGUUGCUCUCAAAAUGCAGUAAAAUGCAUCGAUUUAUGCUAUAGUCUUCAAAAACUUCUCUGUAAUUUAGUGGGGCUGGGACUAAUUACCUUGGUAAAAAUCAAGGCUACAGCCCUGUGCACUGGAAGAUCAGAAUCAAAGUUGUACUAAUGUGUAGCACUUCUACUCGGUUGGGUUUGGAAUGAGGAGGUGAGAGGCAGGCUGAGGACAACUUUAUUCUCUUUAUUUUUACUUUCACUUUUCAGCUCACUCAUUCAGACACACACACACACACACACACACACACACACACACACACAUACACACACACACAUACACACACUUUCAGGGUUUUGGCAUCAGUGUAGCACUCCUCCUGGGUUGGGCCAGGAAUGAGGAGGUGGGAAGGCUGAGGACAACUCAAAAGGGCUCUUUUUUCUCUUUAUUUUUACUUAAAUUUUCAGUGGACACAGUCAAAGAAAGGCACACAAACACACACAUAUAAGGCUUUGUGCUGGUCUGCUCUCUCUCUCUAGGCUCUCAUCUCUCGCUUCCUUAUCCCUUCUGUUGCUCACUGCAACACAGAACAUUCAUUAGCUAAACCAGAGAAAGAAGAUAAAAAUAUCCAGGUGAGCAAGCAGAUACACCUUCAUGCCAACCAAAUCUACAUUCACCUGAAGGCCAGUGGACGCACAGCACUGAAGACAGGCACAACACGCAGUUAGCUCAUGGUGCACAAGAACGUAAAUGCAUGCAACACUUACCUAUAAACCCCGUCUCUGCAUCAUGACGCAAAUAUGUGUUCAUGCACACGUAAAGCUCCUGUAAAAUUAGCCUAAAAUAUGCCUAUCCCAAAGUAAAAUUAAAGCCGGUCUUGAACCAUUUGUAGUACAUGCAUGAUUUUGGUCUCUUUUGAAAAGUGACACUCUGAAGUGUAAGUGCUACUAGUAUUGAGUAAUAGAAGUUUGAACAUAAUGAAAUAGAAGGGAUUUUUUCCUGCCUGUUUUUUUUUUUUUUUUUUUGCAUACAGAUCCCUGCAGAUGACUACAGCUUGGAGCUAUUAGCUGGAAAACACAAUUGGACCAUUUUGUGUUUUACCAAAACCACCUUUUGGAGACUCCAAAGGGCCCUUGCUAGUCAUGUGCACUUACAGUGGGGAAAUAAGUAUUGAACGCAUCAACAUUUAUUUCAGUAAAUAUAUUUCCAAUGAGGCUAUUCACAUAACAUUUUCACCAGACUUUGGUAUUAACUCAAGAAAUCCACACAUAUAAAGAAAUCCAAAUAUUAAAGUCCACACUAACUGAAAUUUAUUUGAAUACUUAGUGGAGAAGCCUUUGCUUGUAAUGACAGCUUCAAGACGCUUCCUGUAUGAAGAAAUUAAUCAGCCGCAGUAUGUAGGUGUGAUUUUAGCCCAUUCUUCUAAACAUAUGGUCUUUAAAGCUUGUUCAACUGAUUUCAAGUCAGAUGACUGACUGGGCUAUUCAAACACCUUGAUUUUUUUCUCUGAAACCAAUUGAGAGUUUCCUUUGCUGUAUGCUUUGGAUCAUUGUCCUGCUGGAAGGUCCACCCAUGUCUCAUCAUCAUCCUGGUGGAUGGCAACAGAUUCUUCUCAAAAAUCUCCUGGUAAAGGGCUCCAUUCAUCGUUCCUUCAAUUAUAUGAAGUAUUCCAGUACCAUGCAAUGAAAAACAGCCCCACACUGUGAUGCUCCCACCUCCAAACUUCACUGUUGGUAUAGUGUUUUAAGGGUGAUGUGCAGUGCCAUUUCUUCUCCAAACAUGAAAUCUUGCGAGGAGCUCCUGUGCAUGGCCGGUUGAUGACGGAGUGAUGUUGCUUCCACUUGCGGAUAAUGGCCCCAAUGGUGCUUACUGGAAGAUUCAGAAGUUUUGAAAUACAUCUGUAUCCGAUUCCAUCAAUAUGUUUUGCAACAAUAAGGUUGCGAAGGUCUUGGAAGAGCACUUUGCUUUUACCCAUCAUGAGAUGUUUCUUGUGUAACACCUUGGUAACGAAAAGCCUUUUUAUAGACCAUCAAUUUACUAACCCAGCUGAUAUUAAUUUGCACAGAUAGGGGGUAUAAUUAUUUAUGGAUUUCACCUGGUUUCUUGCCUUACCUUGCCUUGGAGAACUGCUUUUUCUUAGCAUGUUCUGUACUUUUUUCCUGUGUCAUUCCACUUUAUUACACAUGACUUUAUGUAUGGACUUUAAUGUUGUGAAUUCUUUAUAUUUCCAGAUUUCUUGAGUUAAUACUGAUGUCUGGUGAAAAUUUCAUGUGAAUAGCCUCAUUGGAAAUAUAUUUACUGAAAAAAAUGUUGACAUGUCCAAUUCUUAUUUCCCUCACUGUAUCACUAGGUUGUCCACUCAUACCAUAGCUGAAAUUUCAGAAAAGUUAAAGCUGAUUAGUCCCUACAUGCUUGUUGAGUUUAGCUGGAAACCAAGAGCAUUAUCAGAAAUUGAUUACUAGAAAGCGACUGAGCUGCACUCAUUUAUGUUGUACUCAGGCCCUGUUGUGCUUCGAGAUACAGUAGCAUUGAAAUAGAGAUGUAUGAUAACUUUUCUGUUGCUAUGCAUUGGCUUUUAUCCUCUGGAACCCCAGAGGUGAUGACUGAUUGUACUCAUGGAUUGCUUGUCUCUUUUGUAUGUCACUUUGGACAGUUGUAUUGUAGACAUGAAAUAGUCUAAAAUAUACAUCAGCUGACUCACCUGGCUGAGGAGUAUCGUCUGUUUGGAUACGAAAUGCAAAUGCAGAGUUACCAAAGCUAAACAAGUGCAAUUUAAUUCAACUACAUUUUGACUUGAAGUCACGGGAGAGCAGUUCAGAAAAGUUGUCACUGAAAAGUACACUUUGUUUGAAGUGCAAGGGGGUAAUUUUAUGCAAAUAGUGGGUGACAUUGCUGCUGUACGAAAUAUCAUUAAGGUAGAUGGGGUAGACAUUUUUGUCCGAUUUCAAAAGUUUAAGCAUCAAGAGUCAUUCUUCUCGUAUCCAUUUGAGUCAUCCAACAUAGCUUGUUAUAAAGUUUGGAAGUUGCAUGACAAUCUUGGUGUGGCCAGGGUACAAGACAUCAAAAUAAAAUAUUUCCUCUGUCCUGAGAACACUGUCUUCAUUGCAAUGCCACUCAUCAAUACGGCCCAAUGAAACAUUUGUUGUUGGCAAAAUGCCUAUGAUAUUGUAAGAACAAGUCAGUUAGUUUUUUUUUUUUUUUUAGAAGAAUUAAGUGUGCUUAACAUAAUCAGUUCCUGCUUUUACAAAUUUGAUGCUUUAUUUUUUCUAUAUCUGCAAGGGAAUUUUUUUUUAAUUAAUAUUCUUGCAUUCUGAGUCCAGUGACUAACCAGCCCUGGUUGCCAUGUACCCCUGCUAGGGACCAUAUUUCAAGGAUAGAGAGGGUAUCUUUUAAUUUACAAAACAAACUCACCUCAGGUUACAGAUUUAAAAGAUCAUUUAUUGUACACACACACACACACACACACACACGUAUGUAUAUAUAUACUCAGCAAAAAAGAAACGUCCCUUUGUCAGAAGACUGUAUUAUUUAUACAUAAUUUUGUAAAAUCCAAAUAAGCUUUACAGAUCUUUAUUGGAAAGGGUUUAAACAAAGUUUUUCAUACUUGUUCAAUGAACCAUAAACUAUUAUUGCACAUGCACCUGUGGAACAGUCCUUAAGACUCUAACAGUUUACAGGUAGUAGGCAAUUAUGGCCACAGUUACAAUAACUUAGGACACUAAAGAGACCUUUCUACUGACUGUGAAAAACACCAAAAGAAAGAUGCCUGGGGUGCCUGCUCACCUGCUUGAACAUGCCAUAGGCCUGCUGCAGGGAGGCAUGAGUACUGCCGAUGUGGCCAGAGCAAUAAACUACAAUACCUAUGACAGUGCUACAGGGAGACAGGAAGGACAGCUGAUUGUCCUUGCAGUGGAAAAUUACA